AUUGAACGCUGGCGGCAGGCCUAACACAUGCAAGUCGAGCGGAGCGGCGGACGGGUGAGUAAUGCUUAGGAAUCUGCCUAUUAGUGGGGGAUAACGUCCCGAAACGGACGCUAAUACCGCAUACUAUCAGAUGAGCCUAGGUGGGAUUAGCUAGUGGGUGGGGUAAAGGCCUACCAAGGCGACGAUCCGUAGCGGGUCUGAGAGGAUGAUCAGUCACACGGGAACUGGGACACGGUCCAGCCUCCUAGGGGAGGCAGCAGUGGGGAAUAUGGGACAAUGGGCGAAAGCCUGAUCAAGCCAGGCCGCGUGUGUGAAGAAGGUCUUCGGUUUGUAAGGCACUUUAAGUAGGGAGGCGUUACCAACAGAAUAAGCACCGGCUAACUCCGUGCCAGCAGCCGCGGUAAUUC
rnacentral:rRNA from 1 species